AACGAACGCUGGCGGCAUGCCUAACACAUGCAAGUCGAACGAGACCUUCGGGUCGAGUGGCGCACGGGUGCGUAACGCGUGGGAACCUGCCCUUAGGUUCGGAAGAACUCCCCGAAAGGGGUGCUAAUACCGGAUAAUGUCUUCGGACCAACGAGUGAUCGCCUUUGGUUGGGCCCGCGUUGGAUUAGCUAGUUGGUAGGGUAAAAGCCUACCAAGGCGACGAUCCAUAGCUGGUCUGAGAGGAUGAUCAGCCACACUGGGACUGAGACACGGCCCAGACUCUUACGGGAGGCAGCGGUGGGGAAUAUUGGAAAAGGGGCGAAAGCUUGAUCCAGCACUGCCGCGGGAGUGAUGCAGGCCUUAGGGUUGUAAAGCUCUUUUACCCGGGCUGAGAAUGACGGUACCGGGAGAAUAAGCACCGGCUAACUCCGUG
rnacentral:rRNA from 1 species